rnacentral:rRNA from 1 species
GAUCCUGGCUCAGGAUGAACGCCGGCGGUGUGCCUAAUACAUGCAAGUCGAACGCGUUGGCCCAAUUGAUUGAUGGUGCUUGCACCUGAUUGAUUUUGGUCGCCAACGAGUGGCGGACGGGUGAGUAACACGUAGGUAACCUGCCCAGAAGCGGGGGACAACAUUUGGAAACAGAUGCUAAUACCGCAUAACAACGUUGUUCGCAUGAACAACGCUUAAAAGAUGGCUUCUCGCUAUCACUUCUGGAUGGACCUGCGGUGCAUUAGCUUGUUGGUGGGGUAACGGCCUACCAAGGCGAUGAUGCAUAGCCGAGUUGAGAGACUGAUCGGCCACAAUGGGACUGAGACACGGCCCAUACUCCUACGGGAGGCAGCAGUAGGGAAUCUUCCACAAUGGGCGCAAGCCUGAUGGAGCAACACCGCGUGAGUGAAGAAGGGUUUCGGCUCGUAAAGCUCUGUUGUUAAAGAAGAACACGUAUGAGAGUAACUGUUCAUGCGUUGACGGUAUUAACCAGA